AUGGGAAGUAUGGAUAGGCAGACUAACACCACUGUUGAGAAGUGUAUAAUACACUGUUUUCUUCCAGAUCCCCCCAAGAACACCUCAGUGUCAGUCAGUCCCUCUAGCUCAGUAGCAGAGGGCAGCUCUGUGACUCUGACCUGCAGCAGCAAUGCCAACCCACCAGUGAAUAACUACACCUGGUACAGAGUUGAGGGAUGGGAGAAGGACAUUGUAGGGUCUGAAGAGAACCUCAACAUCUUCAAUGUAACCAGGCUUUCAAAUGAACAGUACUACUGUGGGGCUCAGAAUGUCCAUGGACUGCAGAACUCUGAGGCCAUCAAUAUCGAUGUGACAUUUGCUUCAGAGAUCCAGAACACCUCUCGCUGCAUCAGGAUUUCAGCUACAUCUCAGAUCAGAUGUUUCUGUGAUAGCUUUGGAAACCCUGCUCCCACAGUGGUGUGGCAAUUGGCUGGAGAGUCUGUCAAUCACUCCACUAACACCAUCAUCAGGGAGGAACCAAUGGGCUUAGCAGGCCUGAGGAGCUCCCUCACCAUCCGCCAAUCACAGGAAGAGGAAAUACCGAGUCUGGUCUGCCUCAGCUCCAACAUUGAUGGUUUUGACAGCUUCUCAUUUAACUUAACAUCAAUGGAAACAUAUGAAGGUUUCCACCUAAUCUCUCUGUUGAUCGGGGCUGGUGUGGGGGCAGGGGUGAUGAUGCUCCUAUGUACCCCACUGCUUCUCAUCUGCAAGAGAGCCAGGCAAUCGCCAAACAAAAGACAGAAGGACACAGCAGAGUUCAUAGUGACUGAUGAGGCCCUCUUUCAGGAGGAGGACAAUGUCUAUACCAAUAAAGCCAUGCUGGAUGAGGCCCUCGGGCCCAACAGGACAGUGGACAGGGAAAUUGACGACACAGACCUACUCCACUACGCCAACUUGAACUUCUCCAAACUCCAGGCCAAGGUGGCCAAGCAGGGGGAGGGAGAGAUCAGGGGAGUCGCCUCCAAAACGGCAGAGUACGCAGUGAUCCGUCUGCACUCCACAGGUAGUAUCGAGGGAGGGGCUGGGAAGAAGGAGGCCAAUCCUGCUCUGGAGCCGGGGGAUCACGCUGAAGACCAUGGAGCUAAAGUCUUAGAAGAAACUCAGGCAGGGCACGAGAGUGAUGGGGAAGAAGAAGUUGCAAAGGAUUCUGUGCUGCCAGAGCUACAGGGCAUGACUAAUUCUGCUCUCAGGGUCCAGGAGUCUACAGAGGCUCCACUGGGACAAUCUGAGCAGCACAACACAGCAGAAACCGCUGUGGAUGAGGUGACACUGCUUUCUGAGUAGAAAGAUUCAUCUAAUGGUGAAGAGGAGGUAAGGUAUGGGAACAUAUGUCAUGGUCAGGUCAUAUCUGAGGCAAAUUAGGGAAAAUCUCAGUUAGAUAGCAGGAAGAGAAGGAGAGUAUAAAGGCACAGUAAGCUGCUGUAUAGAGGGAGUAAAGCUUAUGUGCAGAUAAGCUAGUGCAAGGUUGUGAAAAAUCACCCAUAAUGCACUGCAGAGACAUCAUCGUCACCUUUCAAACUGUAGAAACACUAUGUCCACCUUUUUUUUUAACACCAGUUAUUCUACAGUGUCUGUUCAUUAGUUAGAUUUUCAUCUCUAUAUAUACAAGUAUGUGGACACCCCUUCAAAUUAGUGGAUUUGGCUUCAAAUGAAAUCCAAUUAGGGAAUACAUUAGAUUUUGUCCUGCUGAUCUACACAACCAACUCCACAUUUUCAAAGUGAAAGAACAAUUAUACAAUUUGUUUUAUUUACAUUUUAAUAGAACAAAAAAACAAAGAUGUCUUGAAUUGCGUAUGUCUUCACACCCCAGAGGUAAUACUUGGUGGAAGCACCUUUGGCCGCUAUUAUAGCUGUGAAUCAUUUUGAAUAAGAUUCUACGAACUUUGCACAACUCUUAGGGUAACACAUACCCAUUUUUUUUUUUUUUAAAUAGCUCAAGCUCAGUAAAUAUGGUUUGGGAGUCAUUGAUGGACUGCAAUGUUCAAACCUUGUCACUGAUUGUAAAAGCAGAUAUGUCAGUACAAUCCACAAUACUUGAAAAUGCAGAGGGUUUCACUCUGUGUUGUGUAGUUCUGGAUUUGGCCUGUGGUUUUUAAUUUAGGACAAAAAGUUCAUUUAUUUUCCGUGUUUUCUUGCAGUAUUACUUAACAGCCUUGUAGCAAACAGAAUGGAUGAUUUGGAGUGUUUUUUAUAAAACACAGGCUUCCUCCUUUUUACUUUUCUAUACAGGCCAGUAAUGUGGAGUGAAUGCAAUGUUGUUAAUCCUCCUGUUUGUGGCAGCAACAUCGUGUUAUAGGUAUGCUUGACCCCGGCAGGGAUUGGGGACUUUGUCAGGAUCAUAAGAAAUAUGAAAGUAGCAAAGCCCAGAUAAAACGUUAGAAACCCUCCCAGUCUUCUGAAUACCAAACACUGGGAUAGAGUUGUAUUUUUCAGCGAGUCAAUUAGACACAUUUUAAUCUCAAAGACAAACUAGAAUAGCUUUCCAAUAGCUGUUGAGUGUUUCUGAAUGGUCCAGUCUCAGUCCUGACUUAAAUCUGCUGGAUUCAAUCCAGACUCAAUCUGUAUCGCCGAAGUCAAAUCAAAUGAAAAUCAAAUCAAGAAGCUGAUUUUCAGUCUCUCAGUCGCAGCUUUGAUGCACCUGUACUGUCUCCGGAAGAUCCGUGUUAAAGCUUGAUUGAAAUUUAAAGGCAAUGUUCCCGCGUUCGCGGAGACUGCAUUCACGUUAAACGCGGCAAAUGUCGGCUUUAUCUGAAAUGACAUUUUUAAGUAGAUACUGUGAUACUUCAGUGAUACGGAUUGAAUCCAGCCCAAGGAUUGAAUAUUGCUGUCCAUCAAUGACUCCCAACCAAAUUUACUGGGCUUGAGAAGUUUUGACAAAAACAAUGUGUAUAUGUUGCCCUAUGAGGUGUGCAAAGUUGUUAGAAUCUAAUUCAACAUUAUUCACAGCCCUAAUGACUGCCAAAGGUGCUUCCACCAAGAAUUUACUCUGGGUUGUGAAAGGAAAAUGUUUUAUAAUUUUUCUUUCACUUUUAAAAUGUUGUGUAAGUUGUGUACAUCCGUAGGAAAACAAUCAAAUGUAUUUUUUUUAAGGCAGCAAAAUGUAAAGACUGUGCAGGAGGUGUGUAGACUUUCACUAGGCUCGGUGUAUGUUAUUUUUAUUCUGACUUUUUAACUGUGUUUUUAUAGAUUAGUGUCAUUCCUUACAUACAUUUUCAAUUAAUUCCAUUUAAUCUCACAACAGUUCUUAAGAGUGUGAUAUUUUUGUUGGUUUUCCCCUGAGUUGUUCCGCUUCUAUGAAUAUGUAACUUAGUGUUACAGAAAAUGUGUAUUUAUGAACUUACAAAUUGUGUGUGAUGGUUAGGAAUCACUUCAACAUGUUGUAUUUUUGUUAUUAAUGUUUUUUGGUGUGUUUUAAAAAAAUGUAUUUGCAAUGAAUACAGGUGAAUAUAGGUUACAAGCUGCCAGUAAUUUCAGCAUGAAGCAGUAAUUAUGUAAAGUAAAGAAGACAGUAAUGAUAUACAUUACAAUGUUGAACAAAUAUUAAAACAUGGUGUCAGUUGCAUAGCAUCUACACAAUAGCACAUCCUGAAAUAUGGGAAAUUCCUAAACAGUGAAGCAUUUCUGUUUUGACAGCCUAGUAAGCACAUAUUGCAUUGAUGUAACACACGAUGUUCAAACCCACUUUGAAUGACGUCAAUAAAUUCUGUUUCCUGCCAUUUUGGUCUGACUUAUUAUUUAAAAGUACAGUUAAGGCAACAACCGGCACAUGAAUGUGUUUUUAUUGCUAACAAUCCAGAUAUAAAGCACUAGUCAAAAGUUUGGACACACCUACUCAUUCAAGGGGUUUUCUUUAUUUGGACUAUUUUCUACAUUGUUGAAUAUUAGUGAAGACAUCAAAAAUUUGAAAUAACACAUUUGGAAUCAUGUAGUAACCAAAAAAGUGUUGAAAAUGUAUUUUAUAUUCUUCAAAGUAGCCAUCCUUUGCCUUGAUGACAGCUUUGUACACUCUUGGAAUUCUCUCAACCAGCUUCAUGAGGAAUGCUUUUCCAACAGUCUUGAAGGAGUUCCCACAUACAGUGGGGCAAAAAAGUAUUUAAUCAGCCACCAAUUGUGCAAGUUCUCCCACUUAAAAAGAUGAGAGGCCUGUAAUUUUCAUCAUAGGUACACUUCAACUAUGACAGACAAAAUGAGAAAAAAAAUCCAGAAAAUCACAUUGUAAGAUUUUUUAUGAAUUUAUUUGCAAAUUAUGGUGGAAAAUAAGUAUUUGGUCACCUACAAACAAGCAAGAUUUCUGGUUCUCACAGACCUGUAACUUCUUCUUUAAGAGGCUCCUCUGUCCUCCAAAAAAUAGUAAAAAUAAAGAAAAACCCUUGAAUGAGUAGGUGUGUCCACACUUUUGACUGGGUGUGAUACAAAUAUUUACAAACCUUAAUACUUUUUUUUUGACUAUGAAUGAAACUUCCUCUGAUAUUUUAACAUCAGUAUACUGGGUUGUGUAGUCUUCUUCAUCUGAUCUGCUGCUGUGGCUUGCCCUGCAGUGACGAGGGUCAGAACUACAGACUGUCUGGUGUCCUGACUUUGCUCUGAACGUGACCUCAGAGUAGCUGAUCUCCACGUCAUCCUCACUUCUCCCUGUCUCUGUGUCCAUGUUUGGCUCGAUGGUGGGCUUCAAAGCACACGCUUUCUUAAUGUUCUCGUAGUCAUCGCACUUAUCAGUCUAAAUAUAGAAAGAGAUUUAUACAAAAAGGAUCCCUAAUGAAGCAGCUCAAAUGUUGAUAUUUUGUAAACCUGGAGAAUAUUAACUGUCUUGGGCAGCCAGAUUUUUUUGUAAAUUAUUCUUAGCAAAUAUCUAGGCUGUGUGAAUUAAUUUACCUUUUCCAAACUAUCAAGUGCUAACAUCAAGGUCCAAUAAAACACAUUAAGUAAUUUUCCAUUUUCUUUGCGGUUGUGAUACCCCCUUCUGCUACUGCUGGACUGUCUGUACAAACGUCCUUCUAAACGUUCUCUUGCUCUUUUUUUCCAUCAGUAUUUCACCUACUACACAUUUUCUAUGAUGUAAGAUGCACCACC
ensembl:lncRNA